UACGGAGGGGGCUAGCGUUGUUCGGAAUUACUGGGCGUAAAGCGCGCGUAGGCGGACCUGCAAGUCGGGGGUGAAAGCCCGAGGCUCAACCUCGGAACUGCCUUCGAUACUGCGGGUCUCGAGUCCGGGAGAGGUGAGUGGAAUUCCUAGUGUAGAGGUGAAAUUCGUAGAUAUUGGGAAGAACACCGGUGGCGAAGGCGGCUCACUGGCUCGAUUUCUGACGCUCAGGCGCGACAGCGUGGGGAUCAAACAGG
rnacentral:rRNA from 1 species